rnacentral:rRNA from 1 species
UACAGAGGUCUCAAGCGUUGUUCGGAUUCAUUGGGCGUAAAGGGUGCGUAGGUGGCGCGGUAAGUCGGGUGUGAAAUCUCGGAGCUUAACUCCGAAAUUGCAUUCGAUACUGCCGUGCUCGAGGACUGGAGAGGAGACUGGAAUUCAUGGUGUAGCAGUGAAAUGCGCAGAUAUCAGGAGGAACACCGAUGGCGAAGGCAGGUCUCUGGGCAUUAACUGACGCUGAGGAGCGAAAGCAUGGGGAGCGAACAGG